UUUAUGUUUGUUAUGUUCGUUCUGUCUGUCUGUGUGUCUGUCUCCCUGGCUGGGUGUGGCUGACCCACUUCUGAUUCCCGCCAACUCACCUCCGCAGCUGCUGCUCAUCAUCCUGAUUACACUACUCACCUUCACCUGCUUAUAUGCCCGGUCCUCUCAUCCAGUAUUCACCAGUUCGUCGUUUCACCUCGCUGAAUCCAUCUGCCUACUCCUCUGCCUGCCACAUCCAGCCACGUACCUCUCGUCUGAGUAUCUCCGUGCUUCCACGCACACCGGCUCCAACCUGUCAACUAUCGCCAGCUCUGGAUCAGCGGCUUUCCUCGCCAGUGUACCUUCGUGCUUCCACGCACACCAGCUCCUUCCUGUCGACUCUCACCAGCUCUGGUCCCCCGGCUCUCCUCGCCAGAGUAUCUCCGUGCAUAUCCGCACCACCUCAGUUAACAAACCCUGGCUUUGGGUUUAUUGGAUAUUUAAUCCCUCGUCUGACUCUAUAUAAGGUUUUUGGUUAAUAAACCUUUUUCUACCUCAAAA